AACAUACUCCCUCCAUCCGAAAAUAAUUGUCAUCAAAAUGGAUAAAAAGAGAUGUAUCUAGAACUAAAAUACGUCUAGAUACAUCCCCUUCUAUUUUGAUGACAAGUAUUUCCGGAUGGAGGGAGUAUGUA
rnacentral:pre_miRNA from 1 species